CCUACGGGUGGCAGCAGUGGGGAAUAUUGCACAAUGGGCGAAAGCCUGAUGCAGCAACGCCGCGUGAAGGAAGAAGGAUUUCUGCUCUUAAACUUUUAUUUAUAGGGGCGUAAAGAUUUACGGUACUUGAAUAAGCCACGUUUAACUACGUGCCAGCUGCCGCGACACUGAGUAGGUAGCAAGGGUUAUCCGGAUUUACUGCGUGUAAAGGGCGUGUAGGCGGUACUGCAAGUCAGAUGUGAAAAUUAUGGGCUCAACCAAUAACCUGCAGUUGAAACUGUAGUUCUUGAGUGUGGGUGAGGCAGGCGGAAUGCGGGGUGUAGCGGUGAAAUGCGUAGAUAUACGGAGGAACACCAGUGGCGAAGGCGGCCUGCUGGACAUUAACUGACGCUGAAGCGCGAAAGCGUGGGGAGCGAACAGGAUUAGAUACCCUGGUAGUC
rnacentral:rRNA from 1 species